rnacentral:lncRNA from 1 species
AUAACCCCAAGGGGUGGAGACAGGAACAGCAUAAAUAUACAACUGGAUGGUAGAUGUGGGUCUGCUGUGCCAGAAGAUGAAGAUGAAACAGCUGUAAGCUACUGGAAGCUGGGACAGCCACGUGACCCACGGCCUCUGGACUGCCAUCAGUCUGCAUUAGCUGGUCACCAGAGCAUCUCCAGGAUGGAAACCAAACAGAGGCAUAUGAGCCUGUUCAUAAGACUUCUUUUAAAGAAAUGUUAUUUUAAUUAUAAUUGUGAAAAUGUCUUUGGCUUAUCUACAUGCUAUUAACAUAUGAGCAAGGUGAACCGUGCUUAUAGGAUGUGAGUGAUGAAAAGACAGCCUAUUCUUGGCCAAGCCUAGCUGAGUCUUUGUCUGGAGCUGAAGUCACAGGUGCUGACUGAGGACAGGUAAGUCCAAUCUCUCUGAAGAACCGAGAACUGGCUCUAAGGCCCACAGUCGUAAUCAGAAGGACAGGGGUGUUCCUGGGCCCAGAGCGCCUCUGCAGCGGAUACAGGCAUCUUGCUCUGCUGGCGUGAAGAUCCAAGAGCUGAUGCUCCAGGCAGACACCACCAGGGCACAUCUCUACUUCCACAGAUUCUUCAUUCUGAUGUGACAUGGAGGAAGAAAAUGUCUUUCAUAUCAAAAGCCAGUGUUUUAUCUAAAUAAACUUAGCUGUCAGUUCAA